UACGUAGGGUGCGAGCGUUGUCCGGAAUUAUUGGGCGUAAAGGGCUCGUAGGCGGUUUGUCGCGUCGGGAGUGAAAACCUCGGGCUUAACUCGGGGCUUGCUUUCGAUACGGGCAGACUGGAGGUAUGCAGGGGAGAACGGAAUUCCUGGUGUAGCGGUGAAAUGCGCAGAUAUCAGGAGGAACACCGGUGGCGAAGGCGAAUCACUGGACCGCUUCUGACGCUGAGGCGCGAAAGCUAGGGGAGCAAACAGG
rnacentral:rRNA from 1 species